GGGGGGGGGGGGGGGGGGGUGGGGGGGGGGGGGGGGGCGGGGAGGGGCCUUUGGGGGUGCUCGAGUGGCGAGGGGGUGAGUAAGACGUGAGUAACCUGCCCUUGCCUUCGGGAUAGCUUGAGGAAACUGGGGGUAAUACCGGAUAGGACUCCUUGCUGCCUGGUGGGGGUUGGAAAGCUGCGGCGGUUUUGGAUGGACUCGCGGCUUAUCAGCUUGUUGGUGGGGUAGUGGCUUACCAAGGCUUUGACGGGUAGCCGGCCUGAGAGGGCGACCGGCCACAUUGGGACUGAGAUACGGCCCAGACUCCUACGGGAGGCAGCAGUGGGGAAUAUUGCACAAUGGGCGGAAGCCUGAUGCAGCAACGCCGCGUGCGGGAUGACGGCCUUCGGGCUGUAAACCGCUUUCAGCAGGGGCGAAGCUUGUGGUGACGGUACCUGCAGAAGAAGCACCGGCUAACUACGUG
rnacentral:rRNA from 1 species